rnacentral:misc_RNA from 1 species
AGGUCGUAACAAGCUUUCCGUAGGUGAACCUGCGGAAGGAUCAUUAACACGUAUCCAAACGUUAAAACCCGCCCGGGAACCUUCAUCCUGCUCUUGUAACCCGCGUAGUUCGCAAUCUCUGAUAAAUCAUAGCCCGGAAAGUUGUAGUGAUUCAGAGACCUCUGGCUACGUGCGAACAUUGGAACAGUUACAAUCGAGCGGUUUUUUACCCAAUGUAUUACAUUGAGCUUCACAUUAAACUGUGGGGUUAUUAGGGGGCAUGGGGACCCUUUGGCAAAGCUCCUGCCCGAGUGUACGGUCUACAGGAAUCGUAGAAGCGCUAUCCUUGCACAAUCAAUGACACUUUCCGACACUGACUGCUUGGGGAAACAUUGCCUAUAGAACUACCCAACAACUGUUAACAAUGGAUAUCUUGGUUCUC